AAGGGGCGGGGGUAAGAAAUGGCCAGAUUCUUACAAACUCAGAUGUCAGUCUCAUCAGAACACUUAACACUUUGUCAGUCGUGGAAGAAUCCAAGGCAGAUGAAAAAUGAACAUCAACAUUUGUAUACCAGGAGAAAGAAAUUAAAGAACUUGGUUCCCACCCUGGCAGUGAGGGGUGACCCCACCUUCUCCCUAGAGCAAAUGAUCAAAAUCCUUUGUGUAGAUAGAAUACUUGUAUUCUUAGUGUUGUAAAGCACCGCCCUGGGUUUAAAGCUGUUUUCCUCCCUCAUUUUUCUCACCUGUAAACCAGUGAGUUAGGGUGGGGUGGGGGGAGGGGUGACGAUAAACCUCAUAGGGUUACUGCCAAGAUGAGGUGAUUAACAAUUGCAAAGUUUUGCAACCGGCUAAGUGCGUUGGGCGUUAUUUUCUAAGUGCGUGGCAUAUGAAGCAGCUCAUUUAAUCUUCAAAUUAUAAACAUUAUCAUGUCAUUUUCCAGAUGAGGAGACAGAAGCACACAGAUUGAGUAACUUGCUCAGGAUCCUAGUUAGUGGCGGAGCUGAUACGCUAAUUCAGGUGAUCUGGCUCCAAAGACAGUGCUCCUAACAACCAGUCUGUACCGAAACGAAUGAAACACGAUGCGCUCAGUAGACGUUAUGUGUUCACACACAGUGUGCACCAGUCCGGACAAAGAAGAAUCUCUGUGAGGAUUCACUGAAGGUCAGAAAUCUUCACUGAAACUAUUGCAUCAAUACUGACGGAGAUAAAGAUCAAUAAUGAAAGAGCAACAACAUAAGAAUGAAAACAUUUCUAUGUGAAUUUCAGCAGGAAUCCGCAUAUUAUCGUGAUGUAUGAAGUUUCCCAUUGGCCUUUCACAGUAAGGACACACAGUUACAGAUUAUACUUUGCAAGAACGUGAAGGUCUGAGAUUUCUAUACCUAAGCCUCUAACACCUCAGUCAAGCAAAGUGUAUAUUCCUUUCCCUGACUUUUCUUCCACAUACUAUUUUGCAAGUAUAAGUGAUCAAUUCGAUAUGCUGUUUCUUGAACGUACCCCAAAACUUUGGUCACUAUAGACACUUUGAACUAACUCAAGGUAGUUCCUCCACAGAGCUCAGAAUUCAUCAUAUUUAUUAUUCUGUGAACCGUAAAAUCCCUGUGGAGAAGGGGGAAGGAAAAAAAUAGCUUUCAUUUCAUAAGUAAAUAAAGU